GGGGGGGGCAAGCGUUGUUCGGAAUUACUGGGCGUAAAGGGCUCGUAGGCGGCCAACUAAGUCAGACGUGAAAUCCCUCGGCUUAACCGGGGAACUGCGUCUGAUACUGGAUGGCUCGAGUUUGGGAGAGGGAUGCGGAAUUCCAGGUGUAGCGGUGAAAUGCGUAGAUAUCUGGAGGAACACCGGUGGCGAAGGCGGCAUCCUGGACCAACACUGACGCUGAGGAGCGAAAGCCAGGGGAGCAAACGGGAUUAGAUACCCCGGUAGUCCUGGCCCUAAACGAUGAAUGCUUGGUGUGGCGGGUAUCGAUCCCUGCCGUGCCGAAGCUAACGCAUUAAGCAUUCCGCCUGGGGAGUACGGUCGCAAGGCUG
rnacentral:rRNA from 1 species